UUCUGGCUCAGGAUGAACGCUGGCGGCGUGCCUAACACAUGCAAGUCGAACGAAGCAUAUUAACGGAGAUUCGUCGAAGCUGGAUAUGACUUAGUGGCGGACGGGUGAGUAAUGUAUGAGCAACCUGCCUUUCAGAGGGGGACAACAGUUGGAAACGACUGCUAAUACCGCAUAAUGUAUUUGGGUGGCAUCACCUGGAUACCAAAGGAGCAAUCCGCUGAAAGAUGGGCUCAUAUCUGAUUAGCUUGUUGGCGGGGUAACGGCCCACCAAGGCGACGAUCAGUAGCCGGACUGAGAGGUUGAACGGCCACAUUGGGACUGAGAUACGGCCCAGACUCCUACGGGAGGCAGCAGUGGGGAAUAUUGGGCAAUGGGCGAAAAAGCCUGACCCAGCAACGCCGCGUGAAGGAAGAAGGUCUUCGGAUUGUAAACUUCUUUUAUGAGGGACGAAGGACGUGACGGUACCUCAUGAGUAAGCCACGGCUAACUACGUGCCAGCCGCCGC
rnacentral:rRNA from 1 species